UCCGGGUUGAGCUCGGUUGGUAGAGCGCCCUGUCUUACGUCAGGGAGGUUUUUCGGGGGUUCAAAUCCCUCACCCGGAA
rnacentral:tRNA from 1 species